rnacentral:rRNA from 1 species
CCAGCGCGAACUUUACAAUGCUGGAACAGCGAUAAGGGGACCUCGAGUGCCAGGUUACAAAUCUGGCUGUCGUGAUGCCUAAAAAGCAUUGCAUGGCAAGGGCCGGGCAAGACCGGUGCCAGCCGCCGCGGUAACACCGGCGGCUCGAGUGGUAACCGUUAUUAUUGGGUCUAAAGGGUCUGUAGCCGGCCGGAUAAGUCUCUUGGGAAAUCUGGCAGCUUAACUGUCAGGCUUUCAGGAGAUACUGUCUGGCUCGAGGCCGGGAGAGGUGAGAGGUACUUCAGGGGUAGGGGUGAAAUCUUGUAAUCCUUGAAGGACCACCAGUGGCGAAGGCGUCUCACCAGAACGGACCUGACGGCAAGGGACGAAAGCUAGGGGCACGAACCGGAUUAGAUACCCGGGUAGUCCUAGCCGUAAACGAUACUCGCUAGGUGUCGGCAACGGUGCGACCGUUGUCGGUGCCGUAGGGAAGCCGUGAAGCGAGCCACCUGGGAAGUACGGCCGCAAGGCUGAAACUUAAAGGAAUGGCGGGGGAGCACCCACACAACGGUGGAGCUUGCGUAAUU